rnacentral:rRNA from 1 species
GGAUUCCCCUAGUAACUGCGAGUGAAGCGGGAUGAGCUCAAAUUUAAAAUCUGGCGUCUUCGGCGUCCGAGUUGUAAUUUADAGAAGUGUUUUCCGCGCCGGCACCGUGUACAAGUCUCCUGGAACGGAGCGUCAUAGAGGGUGAGAAUCCCGUCUUUGACACGGACCCCCGGUGCUCUGUGAUACGCUCUCGAAGAGUCGAGUUGUUUGGGAAUGCAGCUCAAAAUGGGUGGUGAACUCCAUCUAAAGCUAAAUAUUGGCGAGAGACCGAUAGCGAACAAGUACCGUGAGGGAAAGAUGAAAAGCACUUUGGAAAGAGAGUUAAACAGUACGUGAAAUUGCUGAAAGGGAAACGCUUGAAGUCAUGUCGCGUCUGCUAGUACUCAGCCUUCCUUCUGGUUGGUGCAUUUACUAGUUGACGGGCCAGCAUCAGUUUUGGUUGCGGGAUAAAGGUCAGAGGAAUGUGGCACCUUCGGGUGUGUUAUAGCCUCUGGUCAUAUACCGUGGCUGGGACUGAGGAUCUCAGCACGCCUUUAUGGCGGGGGUUCGCCCACCUUCGUGCUUAGGAUGCUGGCGUAAUGGCUUUAAACCACCCGUCUUGAAACACGGACCAAGGAGUCUAACAUACCUGCGAGUGUUUGGGUGGAAAACCCGAGCGCGUAAUGAAAGUGAAAG